rnacentral:rRNA from 1 species
GAAGCCGGAAUUGCUAGUAAUGGCAGGUCAGCAUACUGCCGUGAAUACGUUCCCGGGCCUUGUACACACCGCCCGUCACACCAUGAGAGUUGGGAAUACCCGAAGCCUGUGAGCCAACUUUUAAAGAGGCAGCAGUCGAAGGUAGAAUCAAUGAUUGGGGUGAAGUCGUAACAAGGUAUC